GGUGGCUCAGUGAUAGAGUGCUUGCCUUGCAUGCAAGAGGCCCUGGGUUCGAUUCCUCAGCACCA
rnacentral:tRNA from 1 species